CAUCCCCCCUCCACAUCCAUACGCCUAUAAAUUAGUUUGGGAUCAUCACAUCACAAACCCGCCUUUCCACAACCUCGCUGCCACCACAGCCAUGACUUCAGCCAGAGGCCGCACUGCGUUUUGGGUAACCGCGCUGAUAACUAUUAUUGGUGCAACUGUGGAAGGUAAGACUUCUUGAUCGUUCACGCUUUGUGUGACAUUCAAACUGCGACGACGUCAGUGUUGCUUUGUGUUUGAUUCCCACAGAGACCACAACGUACACCUUGAAUGAGCCAGACAUCCCGUUCCCACCUGCCAAACCCACUCCACUAAAUCUGGCCAACAUCUGUCUCCAGAGUCAAAGCCGUCCCAGAUAUCCCGACAGCUUCUACCCACCCUCUGGUUUCAGCUUCUUCCGCCGCACUGGAAACGCCAUCAACCGCGUGGAGUCAUGGUACAUUGUGUGCUGCAGUGGACUGGUAGCACAGGAAAUCAACCAGAUCCUCUGCUGCACCAAUCAAGCUUGGAAACAAGCCCUGUCUCAGUUCUGUAAUGAGGAAUAUUCUGUUAAGACUAAUCCAUACGAGUGCUGCGAGUACAAAGAAGAAAAGAGAUGGACCUGCUUCGAUGAGCAGCUGCCAAAUCCAUAUUACUUGGGAACACCGGGGUACACUUGUCCUGCAAUGCCUGCAGUACCGGGAUUCAUAUUUAACCCAAAUGCUUGCAAUAACUGACAACCAAACUCACUCAAAUGCAAUGAAAAAGAAACAGAGAAAAGAUAAAAGAGUUUAUCCUUGUGCAGUCAGAAGAGAAAAUUAGAAAUGAGGUUGUUUGCUCCUGUUAAGGACACUAAGUCUUAAAAUUAUUAUUGUGUGUUACUGUAAUCAGUUUUUUAAGRUAACCAGAAACUUACUUUCAAAUGUAUAAGUCCUUUCUCUUACAAAAUGUUUCUUACUUUAAUAUCACAAACUUUUGUAAAUAAAUGACUGAAAUAAAUAAAACAAAGCAAACUAACAAACAAA